rnacentral:tRNA from 1 species
UCUCUGUUAGUAUAUCGGUUAGUACACGCGCUUGUCAUUCGAUUGACCGCGCGAAAGCGGGGUUCGACUCCCCGACAGAGAG